GACGAACGCUGGCGGCGUGCUUAACACAUGCAAGUCGUACGGUAAGGCCCUUUCUGGGGUACGCGAGUGGCGGACGGGCGAGUAACUCGCGAGUAAGCUGCCCACCACUUUGGGAUAACGCAAGUAAACUGGUGCGAAUACUGGAUAGGUGCUACUGCUGCCUGGGGGGGGGUGGAUAGCUCCGGCGGGUGUGGGUGGACUGGCUGCCUAUCAGCUAGUUUGUGGGGUAGUGGCCUACCAAGGCGGCGGCGGGUAGCCGGCCUGAGAGGGUGACCGGCCACAUUGGGACUGGAGUACGGCCCCGGCUCCCACGGGGGGCCAGAGGGGGGAAGUUUGCACAAAGGGCGCGAGGCCGAUGCCGCAACGCCGCGUGGGGGAUGGCCGCCCUCCGGGUGUAAACCGGUUUCAGCAGGGACGAAGCUUUUUGUGACGGUACCUGGUAAAGAAGCACCGGCUAACUACGUG
rnacentral:rRNA from 1 species